GUUUGAUGGAUUCUUUAUGUUUAAGUUUUAAAAAUUAUAAUUAUGUGGACUUGGUCCACAAGAAGAGAAAAGGUCCAAUCGACUUGCCCAAAACCCAGGCCCGUUUCGGAUGGGCCAACCUGAUCCAGACUCAACCCAGUUCGGACCUGACGGGUAUUGACCCGACUCGGUCAAGGAUCAACGGUUGAUCGGUCAAUGAUCGACAGUCAACGAUCAACGGUUGAUCGGUCGACCAAUGCUUGACCGAUCAACAGUUAACUUUUCAAAU
rnacentral:lncRNA from 1 species